rnacentral:tRNA from 5 species
GCUCGAGUAGUCUAGGUGGUUAGGGCACCACGUUGUGGCCGUGGAAACCUGAGUUCGAGUCUCAGCUCGGGCA